UCCACCGAUUGACUAAGGUUUCCAGAGGAAGGCUCGUCCGCUCUGGGUUAGUCGGGUCCUAAGCUGAGGCCGACAGGCGUAGGCGAUGGAUAACAGGUUGAUAUUCCUGUACCACCUAUAAUCGUUUUAAUCGAUGGGGGGACGCAGUAGGAUAGGCGAAGCGUGCGAUUGGAUUGCACGUCUAAGCAGUAAGGCUGAGUAUUAGGCAAAUCCGGUACUCGUUAAGGCUGAGCUGUGAUGGGGAGAAGACAUUGUGUCUUCGAGUCGUUGAUUUCACACUGCCGAGAAAAGCCUCUAGAUAGAAAAUAGGUGCCCGUACCGCAAACCGACACAGGUAGUCAAGAUGAGAAUUCUAAGGUGAGCGAGCGAACUCUCGUUAAGGAACUCGGCAAAAUGACCCCGUAACUUCGGGAGAAGGGGUGCUCUUUAGGGUUAACGCCCAGAAGAGCCGCAGUGAAUAGGCCCAAGCGACUGUUUAUCAAAAACACAGGUCUCUGCUAAACCGUAAGGUGAUGUAUAGGGGCUGACGCCUGCCCGGUGCUGGAAGGUUAAGAGGAGUGGUUAGCUUCUGCGAAGCUACGAAUCGAAGCCCCAGUAAACGGCGGCCGUAACUAUAACGGUCCUAAGGUAGCGAAAUUCCUUGUCGGGUAAGUUCCGACCCGCACGAAAGGCGUAACGAUUUGGGCACUGUCUCAACGAGAGACUCGGUGAAAUCAUAGUACCUGUGAAGAUGCAGGUUACCCGCGACAGGACGGAAAGACCCCGUGGAGCUUUACUGU
rnacentral:rRNA from 1 species